GACAAGAUUUUAACUAACAUAUUCAAAGAAUGAGCUGACAUUUGGAGAUUUUCAGGAAAAAAAACACACAAAAAACCCUGAACCUAUGUGUUGUGGGUUACAUUGUGUCUCCCAUAAAUGUUCAAGUCCUAACUCCCAGUAUCUAAGUCUGUGACCUUAUUUGGAAUAGGGCCUUUGCAAAUAUACUAAUUUUAGAUA